CAGCAGCCGCGGUAAUUCGGAGGGGGCUAGCGUUGUUCGGAAUUACUGGGCGUAAAGCGCACGUAGGCGGCUUUGUAAGUUAGAGGUGAAAGCCUGGAGCUCAACUCCAGAAUUGCCUUUAAGACUGCAUCGCUUGAAUCGCGGAGAGGUGAGUGGAAUUCCGAGUGUAGAGGUGAAAUUCGUAGAUAUUCGGAAGAACACCAGUGGCGAAGGCGGCUCACUGGACGCGUAUUGACGCUGAGGUGCGAAAGCGUGGGGAGCAAACAGGAUUAGAUACCCGCGUAGUCCCUGUCUCUUAUAC
rnacentral:rRNA from 1 species